rnacentral:rRNA from 1 species
AUUGAACGCUGGCGGCAUGCCUUACACAUGCAAGUCGAACGGCAGCGGGGACUUCGGUCCGCCGGCGAGUGGCGAACGGGUGAGUAAAGCAUCGGAACGUACCCGGAAGUGGGGGAUAACGUAGCGAAAGUUACGCUAAUACCGCAUAUUCUGUGAGCAGGAAAGAGGGGGAUCUUCGGACCUCUUGCUUUCGGAGCGGCCGAUGUCAGACUAGCUAGUUGGUGAGGUAAGGGCUCACCAAGGCGACGAUCUGUAGCGGGUCUGAGAGGAUGAUCCGCCACACUGGAACUGAGACACGGUCCAGACUCCUACGGGAGGCAGCAGUGGGGAAUUUUGGACAAUGGGCGCAAGCCUGAUCCAGCCAUGCCGCGUGAGUGAAGAAGGCCUUCGGGUUGUAAAGCUCUUUCGGCCGGGGAGAAAUCGCAUGGGUUAAUACCCUGUGCGGAUGACGGUACCGGCAUAAGAAGCACCGGCUAACUACGUGCCAGCAGCCGCCGUAACAC